ACUCGAUAGCGUAAAAGUAAAAUUUGUAUGGAGUUGGAACGUUUGCCUACGUUUGCCGCCAGGGGCGCUGUUCCAACUGCAUACAAAAUUGAGUUAACUUUUACGAUAUCGA
rnacentral:pre_miRNA from 9 species